AUACGGAGGAUGCAAGCGUUAUCCGGAUUUAUUGGGUUUAAAGGGUGCGUAGGCGGUUUGCUAAGCGGGAGGUGAAAUGCCGGCGCUCAACGUCGGAAGUGCCUCCCGAACUGGUGGACUGGAAUGACUCUGCCGUGGGAGGAAUGUGUAGUGUAGCGGUGAAAUGCUUAGAGAUUACACAGAACACCGAUUGCGAGGGCAUCUCGCGUAGGGUUGAUUUACGCUGAGGCACGAAAGCGUGGGGAUCAAACAGUAUUAGAUGCCCUGGUAGUCCACGCAGUAAGCGAUGAUGGCUAGACGGUGGUUUAUUCGGAGCAGUGGCCAAGGGAAAGCCAUAAGCCAUCCCCCUGGGGAGUACGGCCGCAAGGUGGAAGCUCACAUGAAUUGACGGGG
rnacentral:rRNA from 1 species